UGCAUCUCUCAACGUUCUCUCUUUUAUCUGGUGCACACGUGACACGUACACUCUCUAGAAAUCUCCCACGUCUCUCUCUCUCUCGGCGUGCUCCAAUUGAACUCUCACGCAUAGCGCAUAGCACUCGCCUUCGCCUUGUACCUUGUGCUCAACUCCCAGAUACUGAGCCCGGACGCGAGCUCCCUUCUCACGCUGGCUUGGGCGCUGCUGCUGCUCUUCCGUGCCUUGAGCUGCUUCCUCACACGCUCGACCGACCAUCUGUCGCUGCUCCAUCGCACACGUUCCAGCUCACCGGCCUGGUACCGUCUUCCAACUCCACGCUUUGCCGUCCGCCGACCUCGCUGGUGAGGUGAGGGCCGACGUCGUCCUGCAGCUUCCACGCCGUGCCGACACUCGUCGUGCAGCCUUGUUUGUUGUGCUUGCCGCAGUUCCCCAUCCAUGUUGUGAGCUGCAACAUACUCAUGGUUGUUAUCUCCUCGUCGGCCAUGCUCAACCUCGCAGCUCCUUCGCGUCGUCGAUUUCCUUGACCCACAGCCUCUCUUCCGACCUCGUCGUGCUCGCGGUGUCAUUGUAAAGCUGCUAGCUGCCAGUCUCGCUGGUACGUCGUCGAUUUUUAUAUGUUUGGAAUUGUCGGCCGUGUACUUAGUAUUUAUUAGUGUCGUCUUCUCAUGCAGUUCCUGAUACCCAGCAAGCCGUUGUGCUCGGCAUACUUUCUCUAUGUGGUUCUCUCGCUUCAUCGGCUUUCCGCGUGUUAGAGCAGGUAUGGUUCGGAUAUAUACGUAAAUGCGGGAGAAAGUUCGAGAAAAAUGGGCAUCUAAUGUGUUCGUGUAAAAUAAAGUUGCUUAGCAUGCUUUGGAUGGUUAGAUGAGUUCUAAGGAUAAGUAGCUCCCUGGUAGUUAUGGCUUGUGGUGAUAGCUUAUAAUUGUAAUUUCGUAAUGCUUCGUAAUGCCUUCCUUGUUAGUAGCUUAGACACAGGCAUUCAUAAUCAUGGCAUUUCAUGUAGAGUACCAAGAAGAAGUGAUUUGUCAAGAAAGGAGCAUGUUCUAGUUCUGCUGAUCCAGUGGUGGAUUCCAUCUAACUGCUUAUCGUAAUAGAAGAUCUCAGAUUUCCUCCUGUAAUAAGGCAAGCCCCGGUGCAUUUGCCCCUUCCUUGCGUUUUAAAUGCUUUAUCACCUGAUAUGAUGCAUUAGGUGAUAGGAGUUGUGUGAUAAACAAUUGAUGCAUUACCAUUCCUUGAAAAUUCCUAAAUCCCUGUUUUAUUAAAAAAAAUUAUUACUGCUUAGUCCUACUUAGAAACUCAAAAAUCAUUUGUUUUUUUAAAAGAACGAUGUGUAACAUUGGUUAUGGGCUUUUGAUUCAAAAGUGAAAGCAAACUUAUGAUGAUGAGUCCAUCAGGGCUCCGGAUGGGUUCAUCAUCCGAAACGAGUACCCCUGCCGGGUACCAAAAAUGGGGAAAUGGUUAAUAAAUCUAGACCAGGCGCUGAGCAGACAGAGUCGCCCGUCUGUGUUGAUUAAGGACCGUACCGUUGACUGGCCUGUUGUGGUUGAGACUUUGCAACUAGCCACAUACCCUGGUAUGGGACAGGGUAAGCUUGAACCUGGUUAUUCCAUACGUGAAGAGACAAUCGCGCACUGGGAGUGGAGAGAUGGCGGGAGUAGCAUGUACCCUCCUGGCAUAGUAGCACGCCUCGUAGGGUAAUGUGCUCUCGGGUGGCGCAGACCUGUUCAUGUAGUGGAGGACUCCAUGGGAACGGUUGACAUAUGCAAGAGUUAAGUGCUACAUAUGUCGUGUGGUUAGAGAUCCCCAGCUGGGUAUAAUCGGUUCGAAUCAUCGUUGCUCCUCGAUUAUGGAGACUCAUCCCGGUGACCAUCAUCGUAGUUAGCAAGUGAAAUAUGAGUAUGAAUAAAAUGCAGCUAGUAUAGGCCAAGUGCUUGAACUAGAUUAGGAAAAAUCUAGAUUCAGGUAAAUACCUAACUUGUGAAAUAAAACUUGGCUUAGGGAUCAAUUGGUAGUAAGCUUUUCUGCCAAAAAGGGUCUUUGAUAAAUGAUAAGCUUUACCUUGAGUCCCAAAAUCCAGCAUACCCUUGAGAGUCUUUUUUUUUAGUCGGGUAAGUCUUGCUGAGUAAUUCCAUACUCAGGGUUUUAUCCCCUGUUGUUUUUGCAGGAGAAGUUUUAUUCCCUUAUCUUAUGGUUAGUUACUUCAUGUGGAGGCCUUGAAGCUUAGAAUGUUUAUGUGUAUCUCUUAUGGAAAGGCUUCACCCUUCCAAUUAUUAUAAUCAGUUAUGCACUUUGGGUACUAUCAAGACUUGUAAUAAUUACAAUUCUUCUUAUGUUGUAAAACUUGAGCUUUGGAAAUGUAAAAUAUGUUUUUGUAAAGUCUUCCGCUCUAUCUCCGAAGUG
rnacentral:lncRNA from 1 species